rnacentral:SRP_RNA from 1 species
GGCGGGCCCCCCCGCAUUGCGGCGUGGUCAACCUGGUCAGGUCCGGAAGGAAGCAGCCACAGCCAUUUCCCGCGAGUGCCGGGGUCCCGGCUCGCCCAC